rnacentral:rRNA from 1 species
CACUCCUACGGGAGGCAGCAGUGGGGAAUUUUGGACAAUGGGCGAAAGCCUGAUCCAGCAAUGCCGCGUGAGUGAAGAAGGCCUUCGGGUUGUAAAGCUCUUUUGUCAGGGAAGAAACGGUGAAAGCUAAUAUCUUUUGCUAAUGACGGUACCUGAAGAAUAAGCACCGGCUAACUACGUGCCAGCAGCCGCGGUAAUACGUAGGGUGCAAGCGUUAAUCGGAAUUACUGGGCGUAAAGCGUGCGCAGGCGGUUUUGUAAGUCUGAUGUGAAAUCCCCGGGCUCAACCUGGGAAUUGCAUUGGAGACUGCAAGGCUAGAAUCUGGCAGAGGGGGGUAGAAUUCCACGUGUAGCAGUGAAAUGCGUAGAUAUGUGGAGGAACACCGAUGGCGAAGGCAGCCCCCUGGGUCAAGAUUGACGCUCAUGCACGAAAGCGUGGGGAGCAAACAGGAUUAGAUACCCGUGUAGUCCCAU